CAUAGGUUAAUGAGGCGAACCGGGGGAACUGAAACAUCUAAGUACCCCGAGGAAAAGAAAUCAACCGAGAUUCCCCCAGUAGCGGCGAGCGAACGGGGAGCAGCCCAGAGCCUGAAUCAGUGUGUGUGUUAGUGGAAGCGUCUGGAAAGGCGCGCGAUACAGGGUGACAGCCCCGUACACAAAAAUGCACAUACUGUGAGCUCGAUGAGUAGGGCGGGACACGUGGUAUCCUGUCUGAAUAUGGGGGGACCAUCCUCCAAGGCUAAAUACUCCUGACUGACCGAUAGUGAACCAGUACCGUGAGGGAAAGGCGAAAAGAACCCCGGCGAGGGGAGUGAAAAAGAACCUGAAACCGUGUACGUACAAGCAGUGGGAGCCUCUUUAUGGGGUGACUGCGUACCUUUUGUAUAAUGGGUCAGCGACUUAUAUUCUGUAGCAAGGUUAACCGAAUAGGGGAGCCGAAGGGAAACCGAGUCUUAACUGGGCGUUAAGUUGCAGGGUAUAGACCCGAAACCCGGUGAUCUAGCCAUGGGCAGGUUGAAGGUUGGGUAACACUAACUGGAGGACCGAACCGACUAAUGUUGAAAAAUUAGCGGAUGACUUGUGGCUGGGGGUGAAAGGCCAAUCAAACCGGGAGAUAGCUGGUUCUCCCCGAAAGCUAUUUAGGUAGCGCCUCGUGAAUUCAUCUCCGGGGGUAGAGCACUGUUUCGGCAAGGGGGUCAUCCCGACUUACCAACCCGAUGCAAACUGCGAAUACCGGAGAAUGUUAUCACGGGAGACACACGGCGGGUGCUAACGUCCGUCGUGAAGAGGGAAACAACCCAGACCGCCAGCUAAGGUCCCAAAGUCAUGGUUAAGUGGGAAACGAUGUGGGAAGGCCCAGACAGCCAGGAUGUUGGCUUAGAAGCAGCCAUCAUUUAAAGAAAGCGUAAUAGCUCACUGGUCGAGUCGGCCUGCGCGGAAGAUGUAACGGGGCUAAACCAUGCACCGAAGCUGCGGCAGCGACACUAUGUGUUGUUGGGUAGGGGAGCGUUCUGUAAGCCUGUGAAGGUGUGCUGUGAGGUAUGCUGGAGGUAUCAGAAGUGCGAAUGCUGACAUAAGUAACGAUAAAGCGGGUGAAAAGCCCGCUCGCCGGAAGACCAAGGGUUCCUGUCCAACGUUAAUCGGGGCAGGGUGAGUCGACCCCUAAGGCGAGGCCGAAAGGCGUAGUCGAUGGGAAACAGGUUAAUAUUCCUGUACUUGGUGUUACUGCGAAGGGGGGACGGAGAAGGCUAUGUUGGCCGGGCGACGGUUGUCCCGGUUUAAGCGUGUAGGCUGGUUUUCCAGGCAAAUCCGGAAAAUCAAGGCUGAGGCGUGAUGACGAGGCACUACGGUGCUGAAGUAACAAAUGCCCUGCUUCCAGGAAAAGCCUCUAAGCAUCAGGUAACAUCAAAUCGUACCCCAAACCGACACAGGUGGUCAGGUAGAGAAUACCAAGGCGCUUGAGAGAACUCGGGUGAAGGAACUAGGCAAAAUGGUGCCGUAACU
rnacentral:rRNA from 1 species